GACGAACGCUGGCGGCGUGCUUAACACAUGCAAGUCGAACGAAGUGGCGAACGGGUGAGUAACGUGUAAUCAACCUGCCCUUCAGAGGGGGACAACAGUUGGAAACGACUGCUAAUACCGCAUACUGAAGGAGGGGAUUGCGUCGGAUUAGCUAGUUGGAGGGGUAACGGCCCACCCAGGCGAUGAUCAGUAGCCGUGCUGUGGAGGAGGAUGGGCACAAUGGGAAUGAGACACGGCCCAGAAUCCUUCGGGAGGCAGCCGUGGGGAAACUUCGGCAAUGGGGGAAAGUCUGACGGCGCAACGCCCGGUGAGUUAUGGCGGCCUUCGGGUUGUAAAGCUAUGUUAAUCGGGGCGCGGUACCGGCAUAAGAAGCCACGGCUAACUACGUGCCAGCAGCCGCGGUAAUAC
rnacentral:rRNA from 1 species